rnacentral:rRNA from 1 species
UGGGGAAUAUUGCACAAUGGGCGCAAGCCUGAUGCAGCCAUGCCGCGUGUGUGAAGAAGGCCUUCGGGUUGUAAAGCACUUUCAGCGGGGAGGAAGGCGGUGAGGUUAAUAACCUCAUCGAUUGACGUUACCCGCAGAAGAAGCACCGGCUAACUCCGUGCCAGCAGCCGCGGUAAUACGGAGGGUGCAAGCGUUAAUCGGAAUUACUGGGCGUAAAGCGCACGCAGGCGGUCUGUCAAGUCGGAUGUGAAAUCCCCGGGCUCAACCUGGGAACUGCAUUCGAAACUGGCAGGCUAGAGUCUUGUAGAGGGGGGUAGAAUUCCAGGUGUAGCGGUGAAAUGCGUAGAGAUCUGGAGGAAUACCGGUAGCGAAGGCGGUCCCCUGGACAAAGACUGACGCUCAGGUGCGAAAGCGUGGGGAGCAAACAGG